CUUCUCUUUUCUUCAUCUCUUCUCACUGAAGCUUCCUUUUAUUUGUGCAGGUUCAAUUAAGGAAAUCAACUUCAACAAGUUUUCAUCCUUCCCAUUUCCUCGAACCAAGAAGAUGGUUUUUUGUGUUUUUAUUUUGGGGGUGUGCCGGCUGAUUUUAAGAAGCAUAUAAGGAAGUAAGGAUGUAUUCUGUUCUUUUUAAAGGUUAAUUGCAUAAUUAUAUGGGACUUUACAUUUACUUCACUGAUGUACAAACUGAUUUGGUAUUUUGGUUUGUUUUCUGGUCGAGCAAGUGCAUGCAAUACUUUUCUUGUGCCAAGUGCAACAACCAUCAAAAUUCAAAGUUUCUCUGCCACAACUUGAACUUGCUUUAGGUGCAACUGUGCAAGAUCUACUAAUCUCACGUCACGCCUCUACCCUCAAAUCUUUGCAACUUCGGUUUUAUAGAUCUGCUUCUUUUUGUACGUUUCUUUGAUUAGCUGAUCUCCAAAUUAACGAAAUAAAUGGUUCGGAUUUGUUACUCCAUUUACGGAUUACUUGG